AGAAACCCCGGCUAACUCCGUGCCAGCAGCCGCGGUAAUACGGAGGGUGCAAGCGUUAUCCGGAAUCAUUGGGUUUAAAGGGUCCGUAGGUGGAUAAUUAAGUCAGAGGUGAAAUCCUGCAGCUCAACUGUAGAAUUGCCUUUGAUACUGGUUAUCUUGAAUUAUUGUGAAGUGGUUAGAAUAUGUAGUGUAGCGGUGAAAUGCAUAGAUAUUACAUAGAAUACCAAUUGCGAAGGCAGAUCACU
rnacentral:rRNA from 1 species